GGUAGCGUGGCCGAGCGGUUCUAAGGCGCAGAUUUAAGCUUACCGAAAACGUGGUUUCGUAUCCCACCGCUGCCA
rnacentral:tRNA from 1 species